rnacentral:lncRNA from 1 species
NNNNNNNNNNNNNNNNNNNNNNNNNUCCUUAUGAUACUGAUGCUGAUAACUUUUGAAUUUAAUUUAUGUAGUGGGUUUGGGAUUUCAUUUCUCUCCCUGUCACUUUUCACUGAGAAGGGGAGGAUUCCCAUCUCCUGUUCCUCAUGCACCAUCUGCAAAUGUUCCUGUAGCCCUGCAGUUCUACCAACAGCCUUUUCCCAGCAUCCUGUGUCCACAGUUGUGCCAGUCUAGACAUGCUCUGUUGUGCCCUGUGACUUAUCUGCUUGGUAUUUCUAUUGCUUUCACUGUUUUAGGUAUUGUGGAAGGAUAUAAAACCAAACAGAAACAAAGGAGUGAAAGAACGUAAUGAGGGUAGAGAAGACUUCUGUUAGGUGGAUAGUUUGUAUUUAGGUGAUUUCUUCUAGCACUGAGAAUUCCCAGUAACAGCAAUGCUAAGUCAUUGAAGGUUUUUACCUAAGAGUUAGUUUGGCUCCAUUAGUCUCUUUUUCAAGCCUCUUUUAUUAUGAAUCUCCUUUUCAGCCUAUCUCUUCCCUAGGCAAAAGGUUUAACUAAACUAGAAGCAAAGAAAUUGAGACUCUGCCUCCUGGGGAAGAGAUUAAUCUCCACCCCACAACCCAUAGGUAGUAAGUAGGUAUCAGAUAGGGCUCUCUAUAUAGUGUUCUGGUCAUCCCUGCUUCCAAUUUCAGAUUCAUAAGGCAUUACUGUUAGAAGUUUAUGGAGGAGUUCAAGAGAAAAACAUGCUUGGCCAAGAUCAUUAGCCACCUUCAGAUUAAUUGAAAAGAGUUCAAGGUUGACAACAGCAUCAUAUAGGGAAAUAUCAGAGAAAGGCUUCAUCUAAGAUAAUAUACCAGUAAUUUGUAUCACUGAAAUUAUAAGAAACAUCCCCAAUUGUUAGCAGAUUGCAUGGAUAAUCUUCUCUGUCUCCUUCUCUGCCCUUACCAUCUUCCGGGUAGAGGACUGUGAAUAUUGACAUAGUUAAAGCCAUUAUGGCAUUCAAAGUAGGUUUUGUUCCUGACAGACUCCCGUCCCAGGACAACUGAGGCACGUGAUAUAGAAGGAGCCUAGGGCUACUCUUACAUCUGGGGAAAAAGAUCUGAGGCAGAACACUGAGGUUAAUUCUUGGGAGGCUUUCCAUUUGAACAGAAUGUUUCCCACAAAAGCAGAAUUUCCAUGAGUACAAGAGUGUGUAUUCUUUGCCAUUUAGCCUUUUGUAUGGCUAGAGAUUGGGGCAAGAAAAAAAAAGAAAAGAAAAAUAAAAAGAAGUGUGAAAACCCACCCUAACCAGGAAUCUGGAGAUUGAGUCUGUCCUGGACCUCACAAGAAAAGACUUCAUUCUAAAAAAGAUUUAAGCUUACCAAACAGCAACCAUUGCUGUAUAAGGUCAAUAAAGCUAAAUUUUGCUUCCUGAUCUAAACUAAACCCUACUCCCUGAAAAUCUUUCCCCUAUGGAAAACAAGCUCCAUGUUGUUGUCAGGCUUUGUAGUUAUCAAAGCUGGCUGGCAGAACACCAGGGCUCGGGACUGGCUGUCACUGCUCAGCACAUGAUAGAGCUCUACAUAAGCCCUUAUGGCAAGAAAUCUGGUAUCUAAUACAUAGACUACAAAAUUUCACUUCCGAAUAUGCAGGCCUCCCUUAUUGUACCUUCUUUUCCUACUUUACCCAUCUUCACUAGGCUUGGCCUUGGGAACCUUCUCCAAGAUUAGGAGCACACCAGAAGGGCUUGCUUUCAAAGUUUUUAGAUCUAUAAUAUCUUUAGGCCAGACCCUCUCAUUCUCUUGCCCUUUCUGAAUCCAACACUCAAGACUCCCAGAUCAGGGGUAUUACCUCUGAUCAUCCUGUUUCUCCAUCCAGUCCACUGGCCUUACAAGAUGUAGCAAUUUGUGAAGGCACUACUGAUUUAGCUCUCAUUUGACUGGAACACCCCGCUCCACCCCCACACCUAUGGCUCAAAGUAGAUCAGUGGCCAGUAGCCCAAAGGGAAACUAAUCAAUUCCCUGGACUCAGUAGCUAAACCUGUUGGGUUCCCACAGCCAUGUUACCCCCCCCAAACUCUGUAAUUCUCCUGUUUCUGCAUGGCCUUGUACUCCCCUUUCCUCAACUCAAUGAGGCCUGAAUUUUCUUUCCAAAAGGGUUUUUGCAAGUUUGUUCUAUGAGUUCUACUGUAGGGAGGUCCUAAAUACAGAAAUGCGAUUUUUCUCUCCUUCUCUCAUCCUCUUUCUAUGUGUAUAUCUUUAAUUGAUCUAUUAAGGACAGCAACAAGAGAGUUCUAACAAUUCUAGUAUGAAGCCAAAUAGUGAUAUUUUAGUGCUUUGGGGGUGGGGCGGGCUGGGUGAAUAGAUGGGCAACAGUGAUUCUGAUGACCCCUGCUGCUCUGCAUUUGCUGGUUUCUUCUUUUGUUUCUAUUAUCUGACUGUUUGACCCUGUCAAACAAGUGUCAAAAUUGUGUAUUUGGAAAUGUUUAACAACAACAAAAAAGAUGUUGUAAUGACAUAAAGCCUUAUGAAAAUAUUUAUGGAGUUCAAUAAAAGAAGUAAAAAGAA